CCUACGGGAGGCAGCAGUGGGGAAUAUUGGGCAAUGGAGGAAACUCUGACCCAGCAACGCCGCGUGAAUGAUGAAGGUCUUCGGAUUGUAAAGCUCUUUUCGAAGGGAAGAAGAAAGUGACGGUAGCUUAAGAAUAAGCCUCGGCUAACUACGUGCCAGCAGCCGCGGUAAUACGUAGGAGGCAAGCGUUAUCCGGAAUGACUGGGAGUAAAGGGGGCGUAGGGGGUUCGGCAAGUCUGUAGUGAAAGGCCGGGGCUCAACCCCGGAACUGCUAUCACGACUGUCAGGCUGGAGUGCAGGAGAGGUAAGUGGAAUUCCUGGUGUAGCGGUGAAAUGCGUAGAUAUUAGGAGGAACACCAGUGGCGAAGGCGGUUUACUGGACUGUAACUGACACUGAGGCUCGAAAGCGUGGGGAGCAAACAGGAUUAGAUACCCUGGUAGUC
rnacentral:rRNA from 1 species